CCCUUCAUCAUAGGUGUUGCGCGUGCCUGCCUGUUUGCUUCUAAGCGAUGUUGACACGUUAGUGUGAUUCGAAGAGUUCUCCACCGUUCCUUUUCGUUUUUGGUGAGGAAGGUGCUCGAAGGCUCUUCCGUUUUCUUCCGUCGCUUUUUCCUUUCUUUCCUCUCUGUGCUUUUCUCCCCGCGUCAACCCUUCGUGUUUCCCUGCUUCUCUCGCCGCGUCUAUCGUCGAUCGUGUGUUGUGUGAAGAGUUUCUUUUUCCGGCUGAUUGUACUGUUUCAGGAAAAUUGGUGUGCGAAUUUUAGGGGUUUUUUUGUACAACCUUGCAAACCCCUGAUUAAGGUGGUGGUGUUUGCUUGGUUUUGUGCUCUGGUCUUAGAAAUUGAAUAGUUUUUUUUUUUUGGUGGUUUCGUGCUAUCUUGAACUCCAAGUGGAAAGCCCGGGGAACAGGAAAUGGACAAUCACAAUUAUUAUUGGUUUUUAUAUUUAAUAUUUAACUCAGUUUAAUUAAUUAAAAAAAUUUCAUCAAUUAAUUAGAAUUAUGUGGUGAAAUAAUCAUAUAUAAUUAAGUUUAUUUUUUUAUUUUUUAUUUUUUUUGUGGGGUGUGUUUUAGCAUGUGGAUCAGAUUUCAAGUAUUUUUUAGGGUGGGUAAAAAGGUUGAUAUAGUUUAUUUGUUGCAGAGGAUAUGAAGAAGUGGAAAGGUACCUGGUGGAAUGCGAGUUUUGAUGCUUAAGACAAAGAAUGUUGUUUGGAAGCAUGACUAUGUCUGCAAGAGAUAGUUCUGAAUGAGCUUGAAAGAGGAGUUGCUCUUCAUCUGACAAUUGCAUCGCAUAAUAGGUUUUGUUAAUCUACCCUUGGUGGAACCCAGCUGUUGAGAGGCAACCAUAAGAUAGAAUCCACCGGAUAGGGCAGUACAAACUGAUCAGAAUUAUGAGAGUGGUUUGGAAUUUGAUUAUUUCAAUUUGUUUUUCUGGAUUAUAUUUCAAGGACAAGGUGUGGAUUAGAUAGCAGGAUCUGGUUGGAAGACAAGAUUUUGUGAAAGAAAGGAUUUGUGUUCGUGCAAGUGAUUUCAGACAGAUUUCAAGCUGGGGUGUAGAGAUUUGAUUCAAAUUGGUGGAUUUGGGAAAAUGAAGGAAGAGAAGGAAUUAAAUUAUGGAUUUAUCAAACACUUUGUAGAUAUUCCAUGCAUUUUUGCAGCUGGAAUCUUUUGGAAAUGGAGAGCAAUCUGUCUCAGUUUUGGAAUGUACUGGAAUCAAAGAAGCUAACUCAAGAUGCUAUUUCAAAGCUGGAGGAGGCAUUGUUGAUUAAUCCUAGGAAAUAUGAUGCUCUGUGGUGCUGGGAAAUACUUAAAUUGCUUGCGCAUUAUGCACUCCGGACCAGAAUGAGGCAAAGGUUCCAAAAGGUGUUAUACUGCUUCUAGAAGGCUUUCAACGAGGGUGCGGGUCGGGCUAGAAACCAGUCUGGAAGUCAGGCUACUAGACAGGUUUCGAGUCGAUGUGUUGGGGAGGAUAACGGUCGGGCUGGUGGACAGGCUUAAAGGUCAACGGGUUAUGUGGCUUGGAGGUGGAAGGUGGAUGCCAUUCGAGUUGAGGGCCUCAACAAUCAACGCGAGCUUACUACUCAGGUCAACCACUUAAUGCGUCAGUUCAAUGACGCUAGGGUCCUGUGGUUGCAAUGAUGAUGAGGCCUCAGUAGCGCGCUGAUGAGCCUGCCCCAUCCCCGGACAAUACUUCCCUAGCGUCCACACGAGGGUCGUAUCCAAGGUCUCGGUCAUGAUUUGAAACCCCGCAUUCUAGGGCAGAACCACAGACUCAAUAGGAGUGUUCGAGGGAAGCUGGGAGGCAAACUCCUGAAGAAUGGGCUGGCUCUUCUCCAUCAUCGUCGACUAUGACAAUAAGAUAGAAUGAGAACGUGAAAUAGGAAAUUGAAUAGAAGUACUUAGGUGCAGAUGCUCGGCAAGUUCAUCUUCGAGUUGAACAUAAACAUCCUUAAAAACGUCUAUCUCCGGGAAUUUAGAACCCCUUGGAAUAAAAGCAACAAAAAGAAGAAGUACUUAGUGUUGACUGAAAGUAAGCCAUGGUCCCUUUUAACACUUCCCUGCCUAUGUGGGUUUGUAUCAAACCAUCGGCAUUUAAAAACGAUAAUUUGGUAACGGUCUUUGUACAGCACUUGUACGACACUGGAUAAUUGCCGUAAAACUCAAUUUCUAUACUUUUGCCACCACCUGAGACAUGGACACUGUUGUUUUGCAUACACAACUUGUCAUCACACUCAGCCCCAAAAAAUUGGACGCCGUUAACAUGGCAACCGGAGUACAAUUCUGCUCGAAUAGGACCAAAUGCCAAGUUAUAUAACUCUUCAGUGUAAGCGGGUGAAUUGGAUGUUUUUAACUAAUUUACCUAACAAGAUAGCAAAAAAUAACUUUUGGUUAUAGCCACUUCGAAUAUAUUGAUGAAAUUACUACAACAAGUUCAAUACAAACGCAAAAAAUUUACAUAUUCGAGAAACCACUGAGGAAACAAUUCAAGAUGCUUCUUCACAUAUAGAUGUGAAAGAUAAUCCCGCUUCAUCAUUUGUUCAUGCUCAUCUAGGUAAAUCAUUGUCUCAUCAUAAUUGUUUAGCAUGAACCAAUGCGAACCCUCCAUAUCUUUUUUGGUAAAUGCCUCCCCUCAAACAGGCUCGCCAAAGGGUCGUGCGACUUGGGCAAAAACAGAAAAUUUCUCCCUUCACACACCUUCAUCAUUAUUGCACUGAAGACGAUUAAAAGUCGUCUAAACAUCUUUUAGAUACAUUCCACAAAAUAUAAGGGACUCGUAUGCAACCCAAGCCUCUAUAAUGGAUCCUUCGGGCUUGGCCCUAUUUCGUACACCUUUUUUUAGGUUGCUGAGAAGCCUGGAAAAAUACAAACACUGUUAGCAAAUAAAUUAGAUAAACAUGUUGUAUGAUGUUGAAUAAACAUUUGAAUAAUGAGUUUAUACCUUUCUAUUGGGUACAUCCAUCGAUAACAAACUGAUCCAGCAAGCAAUGUCUUAUCUGGCAAGUGAACCAUAACGUGGAUCAUACUUGUGAAGAAAGCUGGAGGAAAUAUUUGUUCGAACUCGCAGAGGACUUAGACAAUAUCUUGGUGCAACUGAUUAAUGUCUGAUUUUCACAACGACCUUGUAGUCAAUUGGGAAUAAAAAUACAGACAACAAUAUAAUUAGCUUCACAACAUCAUUGGGCAAUAGGUGCCGAAUACCAACUGGAAGUAGACAUUGCCGAAUGACAUGGCAAUCAUGACUCUUUAGUCCUGAAAUUUUUCCGCCUUCAACGUUCACGCAAUGGCCAAUAUUUGAAGCAUACCCAUCUGGAUACUUGACUGAAGAUAGAAACUUCAAAAAUUCUUUUGUCUUUUGGUUUGAGUGAAAAAAAAAAAAAAAAAAAAAAAAAAAAAAAAAAAAAAAAAAGCAAUGAACCUUCUUGUUAUGUCGCCAUCCCUAUUCAUCCAUAAACGGGGCCGUAUUCCCAUUCGUUCUAGAUCGAGACAAGCUUUAACAGUGUCUUUCAUCUUGCCCUCAAUAUCUAGAAUUGCGCCUACCAAUGUGUCAAAAAUAUUUUUCGCAACAUGCAUCACAUCGAGGUUGUGUCUCAGUUUUAGCUUAGACCAAUACGAGAGCUCAAAAAAUAUAGAUUUGUGGGUCUAAUCCAGAUGAGUUGUUGGUCGGGGCCUAGUUACAAUUUUCCCAAAAGGAUCGAAAUCCAAACAGUUAAGUUUUUUAAAAUUUGGUCACUGGACCACUCUCUGGGUUUGAGCCGAGGCUCUAUUUUGCUGUCGAACUCUUUGUCCUUCUCACGCCACUCAUAGUCCCAAGGCAACCAUCUCCAAUGGCCAAGAUAGCAAACAUUUCUGGCAUGCCAACCAAAUAUGAUGUCAUCCUUACAAACUGGACAAUGCAAAAUAACCUUUAGUCUCCACCCAAAAACCAUGGCAUAUGCCAGAAAAUCAUUUAUUGUCCAUGUCACUGCUGCCCCACAUUGUGAACAUCUUCUCAGUAGACUUAUCAAACACGCGAACACCAUUUUCCCAUAAAUAUUUUAGCUUAUCAACCAACGACCACAAAUAAACAUCAAUAGACUUGCUGGGAUCCUUGGUGAUCAAAAAGUAAUCAUCAUAUAUUUUUUCUUGAUGCAUUUCCAAGGUGGAAAAUUAUAAGGAAAGAAAAUAUUAGCCAAGUGUUGUGGUAUAGGUUUAGAACCCCGAAAGGAUUGAAUCCGUCAAUGGCAAGUCCCAACCUAACGUUACGAGUCUCAGCUGUAAAAUCAGGUUACAUCAGAUCGAAUAUUUCCAUGCCUCUCCAUCUGCUGGAUGCCUCAUCACGUCAUCAUCCACCCAACUUUCUUUAUGUCAUCUCAUGUAACUUGCAGUAUGCGUUGACAUAUACAAUUGUUGCAACCUCAGCUUUAGUGGCAAAUAACGUAUAACUUUCUAUGGAAUAUUCGUCGAUCUAUUUGCAAUGUCAUUUUGAACCUCAACUCAUUACAUACCAGGCAUUUGUCCAACGCUUUAUUCUCCUUAUAGAAUAAUAUACAAAUAUUUUUGCAAGCAUGAAUCUUUCGGCAAACUAUUAUCCUUUGGCAGCUUCUCUUGAUAACCCCCAACAAAUAGUCUAAGCACUGGUUGGAAAUUCAAUACUUUAUUUUUCCAUACAUCAACUCCACAAUGGUCGUGAACACUGAAUAGUCUUCACAUCCCAGGUAUAAUUCUUGGUUCGCACUUUUUAACAGUUUUUCAUAUUGUUCGAAAGCUUCAUUGUCCAUCGAUUCGGGCACAUCAUCAUCCCCUCCUUCGUACGUAUUAAUUGAGGGAAAUGGAAAAGUGUCAUUUAUAAUAUUCGUAACUUGUUCGUUAGGAUCCACAUUUUUCAUUCGCGUCACAUUUGACGACGAAGCAUAGUCUAAUUGUUCCCUAUGGUGAUUCUAAGUCGUAUAUGUGUCUGUCAUCCCAUUUCUUAGUAAGUGGAAUCGAACAUUUUUCAAAAAUCUCCUUUAAGGUGUUGUUACACCUCCUACAUGGACACUGAAUUCUUGAUACGAACUCAAUAAACUCAUUUAUUCCAUCCAAGUACAUGGGUGCACAUCUGUUUGGAUUCUGUAUCCACUGUCUGUCCAUAAUAUCUGCAAGCACAAUAAAAUUGAAAUCAAUACACAACUCCAACGAGAUAUUGUCACCUUAUGCCUCCGAUUAGGGCCCUAAUCCCAUUUGGGAAUUCAUAGUUAUGUGAUGCAAUUUACGACUUCAUUGGAUUAGAUUUCAAUGUGGGAAAAUUCCAGCAGCAUCUCCCUCCAAUUCUUCAAGUUGCUGACAUAGAUAUCAAAAUACCUAUCUGGCACUCGAAGAACGUAAAAAGAUGUGAUCGAAAUUCCCACAAUCGAAACCUAAUCCUUCAACCAUAAACUACGGCCCAUAACUAGGCAUUCCCAAAAUGUCCAAAUAAUGGGACAAUUCAAGAAUCAACUGGACCGCAGUCAUGCUUUCGCAUCCAUGCAUGAAAUCUAACUAAUCCUCGAAUGGGAGACUAAGCUUUUAUUGAAAAUACGCGUACAGAGUUAAUUACUAGUAACUCAGUACAACACAAAACAAUUUUGUACGAGACGUACACUUUUGGUUUUCUUCCAAAAACCAAAUAGGAACAAUACACCUCUAAUUAACAUACAAAUUAACAACCCUUAUUAAUUAUUCACAUCUAAUUUGUUGUAAAUUCAAAUAACUCCUAAUUAAAAAACCAAACAAUAUACCUCUAAUUUUGUCAUGCACACCAACCAUAUACACAACAAAUUUAAUGGCGUUAGUUUGAAUUCACAACAAAUUUUUGAAAUAUAUAACGGAAACACUUAUUGAAUACAGUAGUAAGGAAGGAUGGCAGAGGCAGCAGCUGCAAAAUUUGCAGUUUCUGCCUCUGCACCUGAGGAGUCUGAUUAUAAAGAUGAAGAAUUUGUGCGAUGAACAAGUCAUCACGCAAAACAUAUAGGUUCGAAAUAUGACACCAAAUAUACCCAUUUUUUUACCAUCUUACGCGACGAACAAUUUGUCGUGCAAAACAUAUAGAUUCGAAAUAUGGCGGUAAACUUAACCGCGUUUUUUACACCCUUUACGCGACGAAACGUUCGUCGCACAAGCGUGUUUGUGGGAGAUCGUCGCAUAAAUUCUAUGCGACUAAGUUUCUUCAUGCAAAAUUUAUAGCGAUAAAAUACGUAAUUAAUUAUAAUUAAGAAGUUUACGUAAACAUAGAUCUUUAGUAUCUAUAUUUACGUAAAUUUCAUAAUUGCAAACUCUCAUCCCGCAAAGGUUGUAGCAACAAACAUUUUGUCGCGUAAGUCCUUGCGUGACGAUCGAAAAUUACUACUUGCUUAUCGAGACAACAAUGUGUUGUCGAUAUCAUGGGUGGCCAACUAUAAUAUCGAUAACUUAUUCGUUGGGUUCGUUAAGCAAGUGGACAAGUAGAACCAUCUACGAUAGUUGUUACUGUUUAGUUAUUGUUGGGGCUUGACCCAAAGAAACACACCUGUUCUCGAAGUACGUGACAUUAUGAAUGCUUGGGCGAGAUCCACUUUCACCUUCGACUUUAAUUUUCAGUACAAUUAUUUUAACUUACCUUAUUAUAGUAGUAGAUUUGUAUUUUUGACCUUACAAAUGUUUAGUUGAGUCUUUUCCACUUUCAGUUUUAAGUUCAAUACUAGUUUUCGACCUCUAUGUUAGUAUGUACCUAUUUUGACGUUAUCGUUUUAUACUUAUCUAUUCUUGACCUUACGUUAUUAUACAAUUUUGACUUUAUAUCUUUAUAAAAUAUGUUUCUACGAUUAUGUUGAUGUGGGAAGAAAGUAGGAGCUUGGAGGCAUGAAAGACGAUUUUUGCAACCCACUCGCGACGGUGUGGCAUAUUCUCUUUGAUGGAACCACUCUAACUUGAUUUCUUCUCUAUACAUAUAUCAUUUCCUAUUUUCGAGUAUUUAUGUAUGGUACGUUAUUUCAAAUUUUGGGUUGAAAUUUUCUUAACAGGGGUAAAUUGUUAUAACUCAUCCCGAAUAAUUUUACAGAUUUUUUAUUCAAAGGGUAUAUUGGUAAUUUUCUCUAGAUUGGGCUAGAUAUUUUGAAUGGGUUGCUGUUUGGGUCUUAUUUGGUGUGCCUAAGGGGGCCUACCCUUUGGUUUUUGUCCCCCCGGCCUAACGUUUCAUCCUCUCUCUUCCCUCCUCCCCGUGACAACUCUUGGAUCUCUCUCUCUCCCUCCCUCUUUCACUGCAUCCUCUCAUUUCCCCUGAGCACCACACAUGCAUACACCUUUACAACGAUGACAACACCACUCACCACCUUCACCCUUUAACCCUGCGAGUUCCACGAAGCAUGGAAUGAAGGAAGGACACCAUCAACCUUGCCAUAUCUCAUUGCAUCGUGGCUGCGCCAUUGUGCACCUCCUUCUCCGACUAACCCUUGACGUAGGUAAGCCCCUAGAAUCUCUUGUAUAGUGUUUAUAUGUGAGUUUGGGACAAUUUUGAGUUGUUUUGGUGGCCGUUGGAUGCAUAAAACGACUCGAGGAGUUUUCCCCACAUUUCCGUGAGAAUGCUAUGAUUUCCAAACCGUUUUCCGACCAACUCCGACCAUGACCAGGGAAACCAAAGGUAUCACCUUAAUCUACACUUGUUUGUCUCCAUUUUGGUAAGUAAAUUGUAGGUCAUGGUUGAGAAUCAGGGUUGAUUGGAGCUUCGGAAGCUCCGACUUCCUUCUUCGUGAAUCCGGUCUAAAAAUCAGGUUGAUCCAACCCGAUAGCCCAAAAUUCGUAACCCAAUAUGAGCCCAAACCCAUAGAACCCAAGUCCAGUUCUAGCUACCCAGCCCAAAUCUUUGGGCCAAUGACCCCAUACCCAACCUUGUAACCCAUAACCCUGACCAGCGUGUGAGUGGAGCGUAGGCCUAUGCGUGGGGGUGCAUGGGUGCAUGUCUUGGCCGGUGCGUGGAGUACACGAGCCUUCACGAAAGGUACUAUACUCCGCCGCCGUGGACGGUAAUGACCACAACAGCGCCAGUGACUUUUUCGGCCAACUUUCCGACGACCCAAAUCGGCGCGUGGGGGUACCCUAGGUCCAUCCUUAUGUUUUUUGACAUCCUAAAUCUGUUUAUGAC